rnacentral:tRNA from 1 species
GGGCUGCUAGCUCAGCGGUAGAGCGCCCACCUUGCACGUGUGAGGCACUGGGUUUGAUCCUCAGCACCACA